AGUGAACGCUGGCGGUAGGCCUAACACAUGCAAGUCGAACGGCAGCACAGUAAGAGCUUGCUCUUACGGGUGGCGAGUGGCGGACGGGUGAGGAAUACAUCGGAAUCUACUUUUUCGUGGGGGAUAACGUAGGGAAACUUACGCUAAUACCGCAUACGACCUACGGGUGAAAGCAGGGGAUCUUCGGACCUUGCGCGAUUGAAUGAGCCGAUGUCGGAUUAGCUAGUUGGCGGGGUAAAGGCCCACCAAGGCGACGAUCCGUAGCUGGUCUGAGAGGAUGAUCAGCCACACUGGAACUGAGACACGGUCCAGAAUCCUACGGGAGGCAGCAGUGGGGAAUAUUGGACAAUGGGCGCAAGCCUGAUCCAGCCAUACCGCGUGGGUGAAGAAGGCCUUCGGGUUGUAAAGCCCUUUUGUUGGGAAAGAAAAGCAGCAGGUUAAUACCCCGCUGUUCUGACGGGACCCAAAGAAUAAGCACCGGCUAACUUCGU
rnacentral:rRNA from 1 species